rnacentral:rRNA from 1 species
GUGGGGAAUCUUAGACAAUGGGCGCAAGCCUGAUCUAGCCAUGCCGCGUGAGUGAUGAAGGCCUUAGGGUUGUAAAGCUCUUUCAGUAGGGAAGAUAAUGACGGUACCUACAGAAGAAGCCCCGGCUAACUUCGUGCCAGCAGCCGCGGUAAUACGAAGGGGGCUAGCGUUGUUCGGAUUUACUGGGCGUAAAGCGCACGUAGGCGGAUUGGUCAGUUAGAGGUGAAAUCCCGAAGCUCAACUUCGGAACUGCCUUUAAUACUGCCAGUCUCGAGUCCGGAAGAGGUGAGUGGAACUCCUAGUGUAGAGGUGGAAUUCGUAGAUAUUAGGAAGAACACCAGUGGCGAAGGCGGCUCACUGGUCCGGUACUGACGCUGAGGUGCGAAAGCGUGGGGAGCAAACAGGACUAGAAACCCUUGUAGUCC